UUACAGGCUUUUAGAAAAUUCAUUUGAAGAACUUGUUGCAUUUCAAAGAGCAUUGAAAGAACUUGUUUCUGGUGUAGAUACUACAUAUGCAAAGCAGUUUGAAGAAUUUUAUAUUGGAUUGGAAGGAAGUUUUGGAUCGAAACAUGUAACACCUCGUACUCUACAAGCUCGCCAGCUUGGAAGCAUUGUUUGUGUAGAAGGAAUUGUAACAAAAUGUUCUUUGGUUCGUCCUAAAGUUGUCCGUAGUGUUCAUUACUGUCCAGCAACAAACAAAACUUUAGAAAGAAGAUAUACUGAUUUGACUUCAUAUGAAGCUUUUCCAUCAAGUUCUGUUUAUUUGACAA